UACGUAGGGUGCAAGCGUUGUCCGGAAUUAUUGGGCGUAAAGAGCUCGUAGGCGGUUCGUCGCGUCGGCUGUGAAAUCCCGAGGCUCAACCUCGGGUCUGCAGUCGAUACGGGCGGACUGGAGUUCGGCAGGGGGAGACUGGAGUUCCUGGUGUAGCGGUGAAAUGCGCAGAUAUCAGGAGGAACACCGGUGGCGAAGGCGGGUCUCUGGGCCGCAACUGACGCUGAGGAG
rnacentral:rRNA from 1 species